rnacentral:rRNA from 1 species
UGCCAGCAGCCGCGUAAUACGGAGGGGGUUAGCGUUGUUCGGAAUUACUGGGCGUAAAGCGCACGUAGGCGGAUUAGUAAGUUAGAGGUGAAAUCCCAGGGCUCAACCCUGGAACUGCCUUUAAUACUGCUAGUCUUGAGUUCGAGAGAGGUAAGUGGAAUUCCAAGUGUAGAGGUGAAAUUCGUAGAUAUUCGGAGGAACACCAGUGGCGAAGGCGGCUUACUGGGCCAAUACUGACGCUGAGGUUCGAAAGCGUGGGUAGCGAACAGGAUUAGAUA